rnacentral:rRNA from 1 species
UCCUGGCUCAGGAUGAACGCUAGCGGCAGGCCUAAUACAUGCAAGUCGAGGGCAGCGGGAAUAGCAAUAUUUGCCGGCGACCGGCGCACGGGUGCGUAACACGUAUACAAUCUGCCCAUAUCAGGGGGAUAGCCCGGAGAAAUCCGGAUUAAUACCCCAUAAUAGUCGAGGAGGCAUCUUCUUGAUUUGAAAGCUACGGCGGAUAUGGAUGAGCAUGCGUCCCAUUAGUUAGUUGGUAAGGUAACGGCUUACCAAGACAAUGAUGGGUAGGGGUCCUGAGAGGGAGAUCCCCCACACUGGUACUGAGACACGGACCAGACUCCUACGGGAGGCAGCAGUGAGGAAUAUUGGUCAAUGGGCGCAAGCCUGAACCAGCCAUGCCGCGUGCAGGAAGACGGUCCUAUGGAUUGUAAACUGCUUUUAUACAGGAAGAAACCCUCCCACGUGUGGGAGCUUGACGGUACUGUAGGAAUAAGGACCGGCUAACUCCGUG